rnacentral:misc_RNA from 1 species
AUGAAACGUAGGACGCUCUUUUUAGAGGUCCGACAACUCAUUUCCUUUACACUGUGCACACACUACUUUUUACACCAUUUUAACGCAUGAGUUUAAGAAUGUAAGAGUCUCUUAAUUGAGCAUCAAACAAACA